rnacentral:rRNA from 1 species
UAAACUCCUGUUGUUGAGGAAGAUAAUGACGGUACUCAACAAGGAAGUGACGGCUAACUACGUGCCAGCAGCCGCGGUAAAACGUAGGUCACAAGCGUUGUCCGGAAUUACUGGGUGUAAAGGGAGCGCAGGCGGGAGAACAAGUUGGAAGUGAAAUCCAUGGGCUCAACCCAUGAACUGCUUUCAAAACUGUUUUUCUUGAGUAGUGCAGAGGUAGGCGGAAUUCCCGGUGUAGCGGUGGAAUGCGUAGAUAUCGGGAGGAACACCAGUGGCGAAGGCGGCCUACUGGGCACCAACUGACGCUGAGGCUCGAAAGUGUGGGUAGCAAACAGGAUUAGAUACCCUGGUAGUCCACACCGUAAACGAUGAUUACUAGGUGUUGGAAGAUUGACCCYUUCAGUGCCGCAGUUAACACAAUAAGUAAUCCACCUGGGGAGUACGACCGCAAGGUUGAAACUCAAAGGAAUUGACGGGGGCCCGCACAAGCAGUGGAGUAUGUGGUUUAAUUCGACGCAACGCGAAGAACCUUACCAAGUCUUGACAUCCCUUGACGAUGCUGGAAACAGUAUUUCUCUUCGGAGCAAGGAGACAGGUGGUGCAUGGUUGUCGUCAGCUCGUGUCGUGAGAUGUUGGGUUAAGUCCCGCAACGAGCGCAACCCUUAUGGUCAGUUACUACGCAAGAGGACUCUGGCCAGACUGCG